rnacentral:rRNA from 1 species
CAAUAGCGUAUAUUAAAGUUGUUGCAGUUAAAAAGCUCGUAGUUGGAUUUCUGGUGGGAGCGAUCGGUCUGGCGCUUAGCGCGAGUACUUGCAUCGUCUCCGGCCAUCCUUGGGGAGAGUCUGUCUGGCAUUAGGUUGUCGGGCAGAGGAUCCUCAUCGUUUACUGUGAAAAAAUUAGAGUGUUCAAGCAGGCUUAUGCCGUUGAAUAUAUUAGCAUGGAAUAAUAAGAUAGGACUUUGGUACUAUUUUGUUGGUUUGCGCACCAAAGUAAUGAUUAAUAGGGACAGUUGGGGGUAUUCGUAUUCCGUUGUCAGAGGUGAAAUUCUUGGAUUUACGGAAGACGAACUACUGCGAAAGCAUUUACCAAGGAUGUUUUCAUUAA